AUGGAUUUCAUCACAGGUUUGCCAAGGACUCGUUCAGGCUAUGACUCGAUUUGGGUUAUAGUCGACCGCUUGACGAAGGUAGCUUAUUUCAUUCCAGUCAAGACUACCUAUAGCAGUGCUAAGUUGGCAAAGAUAUACAUGACCAGAAUUGUGUGUUUGCACGGAGUUCCGAGGAGUAUCGUAUCAGAUAGAGGAACCCAAUUUACCUCAAAGUUUUGGAAUCAGUUGCAUGAAACAUUGGGAACCAGGUUGGAAUUCAGUACAGCUUUUCACCCACAGACAGAUGGACAGACUGAGAGAGUCAAUCAGAUUUUGGAGGAUAUG
rnacentral:rRNA from 1 species